rnacentral:rRNA from 1 species
GUAGGGAAUAUUGCGCAAUGGACGAAAGUCUGACGCAGCGACGCCGCGUGAGUGAUGAAGGCCUUAGGGUCGUAAAGCUCUGUUGAAUGGGAAGAAAAAAAUGACGGUACCAUUCGAGGAAGGACCGGCUAACUUCGUGCCAGCAGCCGCGGUAAUACGAGGGGUCCUAGCGUUGUUCGGAAUCAUUGGGCGUAAAGGGUGUGUAGGUGGCCAUGUAAGUCAGGUGUGAAAGCGCCGGGCUCAACCCGGGAAGUGCACUUGAUACUGCGUGGCUUGAGUACCGAAGAGGGUAGUGGAAUUCCAGGUGUAGUGGUGAAAUACGUAGAUAUCUGGAGGAACACCGGUGGCGAAGGCGGCUACCUGGUCGAGUACUGACACUGAGACACGAAAGCAUGGGGAUCAAACAGGAUUAGAUACCCGGGUAGUCC